rnacentral:lncRNA from 1 species
CAGGAAUGUAUACCACCACCACGACGCACAUCUCGGCACUGAGGGCAGAUCUGGUGGCUGGGGCCACCCUGCAGUCCCAGAUCGUGGCUGAACUCUGUGGUCCUGAUUCAUCUCCCUAGAAGACUGGGUGAACUUGAAUUCUUCUCCCUUUCAAAGAGCUUUUUCCCCUGAAUCCCUUUUACAAUCUGAAGAAAAGGAAGAAAGCCGGAGGAAGCUUAACAUGAGAUGCAAGUGGAGCCUGAUGCUGCAGUGCGUGGCAGAAGCCUUAGCUUAGAAGCAACAGUUCUACUAGAAAUCAUGUUACAGGUAUGGUUUACAGAAUUGGACCUGCAGAAGGAACCACGUAGAAAAAUGCA